CAACAGAGAGAUGUCAACAGAAAGCGCUGACAGAGGGACAGGCUGGACUUGUUCAUGCAACACAGAUGAAGAGUCAAGAGUGUAGUCACUGGAACAACAAAAGCAAAUAAAUAAAAACAAGGAACUUAGUGGAAGUGUUAUGAAAGCCAAGUAGAGAACUAACCUGAAAACGGAGGAAUGCAAAAAAGACCAGACUGAGAAUCAUAGAGCAAUGUCUACAAAAGUAGAAGAAUGUGGGACUGAGAAGUCGAUGAAUCACUAGAAUCUUCAGAAUUAUACGAAAGUGGAGAAGAUGUCCUCCCAGGAAUUAAGCUUGGGACUGCGCACCUAGAAAAAGGUAUUAUUUGUGGAUACUUUCCCCCCAGUCUCAGCCAACAAUCACUAGUUUUCGUGGACUGUUGUUCCUACACGCUUGAACUCACAUAGGUCAUGCAGAUCCAGGAAGCCUUUGGACCACAAAACAGGUGACAGGUUACAGAAUGAGAGGAGGAGAGCCAGGACAGUCUCAUGAAUUCAAUCUAUCCAGUUGAAGCCCCAUGCCAUCCAUGUCCAAACCACAUCUUUCCUACUUACAAUUUUUGCUUCUACGCUAUGUUGUACCUAUUGUUCUUGGUACCACCUUUUAAAAACCUUGUUACUGGUUCUCACCUGCUUCUCUCCUGAUUUGAUUCUAUGGAUGGUAGAACCUUGCAUAUCACUGACCUCUUAUUCAACUUAGUCCUUACCUUGUAGUGGCUGUGGAAAUCACAAAUUGACAAGAUGCGUUGUUUGGAACACCUUUCUGACACCUACAGAGACUGCUUGGGAGAGAUGCUCUAAUGUCCUCUAGACUUACAUACCAACAUAGCCAAGUACAGCAGCAUGAGGCUAUUCAUGUUUGAAGGACCAGCUAUGAACCAUGUGGAGCUUUGACUCUAUAGAGCCUCCUAGUCUUGGAUGAAGCAAGUAGAACAUACCAACCUGGCCUGAACCAGUUUCUUCUGGCAUCGUAGAUGCAUACAAUGUAAAAGAGUAUCCACAGGGAGAAUUAAUUACUAGGGUGAAAAAGAAUGUCUAUGAAAGAUUUAGCCUGAAGAUGGCCUGCUUGUGCCUCCAGAAAACAUAAAAAGGAAUUGAGAGAUGAAAUGGUCGACUGGAGCCUGGAUUUUAACUAAACUGAAAAGACCGUUAAUGACUUGACAGAAAAACUACUGGCAGUUCCAAAAAGGAGAGCCCUAACUCACUCUACGCUGGAGUUAACUGUCCCUAUCUGAGAUUUCUCUCAGCAGCUUCCUCUCCAAGAAAUGUCAUCUAUGCCUCAUCUACACAAAAGGAGUCAGAAUACAUUUCUGCAGAGAAUAAGAAUAUUUGGGGCACUGUGGACCACCAUGGCCAAGAAAGACAAGCAGUGUCCACAGCUGCCAAGAUGAAAAUGAAUGCCAGGAAGGCAGCUGCAAAUUUUCGACGCUGCUGCACAUACUGUUGGGACUGCAUUCUAGGAAAAAACAGAGCAACAGAAGAAGGUGGUGUCAUCCUAAGUCAGAGAGAUGGAUCACAAAGGCUUAACGAUGUUAUGUGACUGAAGUUAGGAAGAUGUGAUAAAGAUCUUCAUGGACAUGUUGAGUUUCAAGUGCCAGUAGGACAUUUGAACCGAAAUCGAUAGGAUGUUAUAGAUCUGGAAAAGGGCUCCGGUAUGGUGCUCGGAAUGAACAUGGAGUCAACGGAGGCUCUUUGAAUGAAUGGAAAGCCUUGGGGCUGCCCAAAGAAGACAAAGCAAGAAAUUGGAGAGGCACGCAAAAGGUGAAAACAAUUGUAGUUUUUACAUAAGUGAAUUAUGGGUAGCAGCAAAGGGGUAAAAGCAACAAGUGUAAGCAAAGGGAGUUGAAUCCUGGAAACCAAGCAAAGAGGAAGUUUCAAGAAGUAAAAAAAUGAUGAGCAAAGUCAAAUUCUACAGGUAGGUGCCCACAGGAAUUAGCAAUAAGUCACUAGCAAUCUCAGAGAUACAUUUCAGUAUUAUUGUGAAGUUAAAAAAGCAAACAGCUAUCUCAGAAACAAUCAUUAAGAUAACAUUAGAGACUGUUUCUUGGCCAGUGAACAUCCUGUGUGACUUUGCCCAGAUAUUAUAUAAGAAGAGCCUAAUAAAUAUUCAAUGUGAUAUAAUGAAAGGCUUUGAGAACUGAUACAGUAUAAUGGAAAAGACUGUCCAAGAGUCAAGGACCAAAUACCUGUUCAAGGAGCUGGGGUGACUCAAAAGGACGGCAAAGACAAUGACUCCUGUUAGAAAUUGAAUCCCAUGAGACCCUUUCAGGUAAAUUUGAUUUGCACGAUUUGACUCAUAAUAAGAGAAAUAAGAGACCCUCUCACUGCUUUUGUGAGAUUGUGAUUCGGGGAGUCCCAGCGCUGGAUAUUUUGUUUCUAUAAAGCUCUAGAGAUGACAUCCCUCUCUCUCUUCUGAAACCCUUACUGCACAAAGGGCUACUGGAGAGCCAGGCACCAUCCACCUCACCUGGGAGCACAUAAGAAAUGCUGCUUCUCGAGCCCCCACCCCAGACACUUCCAAAGUAUAACUGACAUUUUAACAAGGUCAAGAUCCCCAGGUGAACUCCUACAAAGAAGUUUAAUAGAUGCUUCUUCGAAACCAUUGUUUCUUUAGAAAUAAGAAGUUGAAUACUGGGGUGGCUCAAAUGGUUAACUGUCCACCUUUGGCUCAGGUCAUGAUCCUGGGGUCCUGGGAUCGAGCCCCAUGUCUGGCUCUCUACUCAAUGGGGAGCCUGCUUCUCCCUCUCCUCCCCACU